rnacentral:tRNA from 1 species
GCUGUGCUGACAGAGUGGUCGAUUGUGCACGGCUUAUGACCGCGUAGAUCCAUCCCGGAUUUCGUGGGUUCGAAUCCCACCCACAGCG